rnacentral:rRNA from 1 species
UACGUAGGGGGCGAGCGUUGUCCGGAAUUACUGGGCGUAAAGGGCGUGCAGGCGGUGCGGUAAGUUUUGGGUGACAGUCUUCGGCUUAACCGGGGAACUGCGUCCGAUACUGGAUGGCUUGAGUUUGGGAGAGGGAUGCGGAGUUCCAGGUGUAGCGGUGAAAUGCGUAGAUAUCUGGAGGAACACCGGUGGCGAAGGCGGCAUCCUGGACCAACACUGACGCUGAGGAGCGAAAGCCAGGGGAGCAAACGGG